CGGCGAAAGCGCUUGGCGCAGGUCGUUCACCAUGCGCCUCAUCAUCUUUGUACAGUGGGUACGAGUCAUAAAAGCGGACCAGUAUCAUCGUCAUCAGUCGUUGACAGCACGACCAGGCCACUCGUGCGCGCUGACCUACAGUUCGAACCGAGAGAUUGUCAGCAGCAGAAUGCCGGGAAAUAGAGUACAGGAAGAAAGAGGUCAGGCGUCGGCCACUUCGGCAACGGUUGCCACGUCCCCAGGUACUCUAGACGUACCCAGCGAUGCUGGGUUCUUCUAUCUUGGCUAUGGCGUCAUGACUAGGCAGCACAGGGCUUUCCUCCUCCAGGAGGGAUUUCCUGUCGAACUGAUGAACGGUGUCGAGCCACGAACUCGGCCGAAGAGAGGCGCCCGCCCUUGUUCUUCUGGAGGACCACCAAGAAACCAUGUCAUCAGCAUGCGCGGCCGUGGAAGGGCCGUUGACUCGCCACGUCACGUCCUUGGCGGGUCGUCUUCCGAAGGCCCGAUACUCGACAGCCGAGGCAACGGGGGACAUUCGGGCCCUUCCCCAUGCCCAGUUGGACACACCAGCAAGGACGGACAGGUGACCCAGUAGUCCCGAUGGAGUACCGUCUACUUGUCAUGGAGUCGAUUUGAAUGAUCGCCAGGCGUCGAGAGUGAAGACGUGGUGUGACAGCAUCAAUCUUUCCGACGGCAGCAUCUGCCACCUCGCUGCUUUGGAUUAAAUUUGGAUUUUGUCCUUU